rnacentral:rRNA from 1 species
UACGGGGGGGGCAAGCGUUGUUCGGAAUUACUGGGCGUAAAGGGUUCGUAGGCGGCCAACUAAGUCGGAUGUGAAAUCCCCAGGCUUAACCUGGGAACUGCAUCCGAUACUGGAUGGCUUGAAUUCGGGAGAGGGAUGCAGAAUUCCAGGUGUAGCGGUGAAAUGCGUAGAUAUCAGGAGGAACACCGGUGGCGAAGGCGGGUCUCUGGGCCGAUACUGACGCUGAGGAGCGAAAGCGUGGGGAGCGAACAGG